rnacentral:lncRNA from 1 species
CUCCACUCUAUCUCUCUCAAUCUAGUAGAAACUAGAAGAUCUAUUUCUACCUUACAUUGGUUGCUAAGCCUAAAAAGAAAUAUUAUUUAGAGAAGAGGUUUUCCUUCGAGGGCACCCCUCAAUCUCUAUGAUAAUUUCCUGUCUCCUCCAGGGCCAGAGGGGGUCUCCUUAUAUAGUCCUCCCCUUCUAUGCAUUUUUAGGUCGAUAGGCGAGGUGGUACUAUGUUAUUCUGGAUCCAAUAGGUCGGUGGAACGUCGUGUGCGAAGAGAGUCCUGUUUGGACCCGACAGGUGGGCGGGCGCCCUGGGCCUGGCCCCGUUUCGCCUCCGCUUCGGUCUCGUGGCUUCUGGAGUCUUCUAGAUGGUAGAAAAUUGCGCGGUGGGUUGAUAUCUCUAUGUAAUCCCGACAUGUGGGCCUUUCUUUCUUAUUUCUUGAUAACCCCCUGCAGAAAUAGACAAACACCAAAACUCGUGGAAUUCUGUCAGAUAAAACCCUAAGUCUAGAUGUUGAUUUCAUUUGGAUCCUUUUCUUUGUUUAUUUGAUAAUUAAAUUUGAUACUUAAGGACCGUCAACAAACUCCCCCAAGCUUACCUCUUGCUCGUCCCUGAGCAAGGAUAGACUCGGCAAUGGAUCAUAAAUUGUUGCAAUAUUUUUUAAAAUUGAUGUACACAUGCUUUUUAAAUAAGAUCUCAUCUCUGAGUUAGAGUAAACUGUCAAGACUUAAAACUUACUUACUUUACCUUUCACCAUGGGACUUGUAACUGUCACUUCUGUCUUGAGAGGUUAAAAGAUAGAACAGUCUAGUCAAGUGCCAUGUCUCUUAUUCUUGAUCAGCUAUAGCUCUGGGGUUUUUGCAGAUUUUCAAAUAAAACUCAGAGAUUCCUUAUAUGACUCUCUCAGAUCUCUCUUUUGUGGUAUUUCUGGAUCCUUACCAAGGCAGUAAUGGUAUAUGCCUUCUCUCAAAGUAUGUGGUAUUUUUGGUUUGAGGCAUAGUGAUAUUGCCUUCUCUCUCACCCUACUCUAAUAAGGUUCUGAUAUCUGGAGCUCAUAGGUGGGAGACAGCUAAUACAUACUUACAAGACAUUUAUUGCAUAGUCAAACCAUGGAUCCAGAGAAACAAGUCAAUAAGUCAAAUCAAGAUGUGCAUGUGUGGUGAAUGAAUGGUGUAUGGUGAUGAUGAUGAUAAUAAUGGUGAAAGUCUAAUUCUACUUUUGCUCUUUUGAGGGGAUACAUACCUUUCUUGCACUUUGAACCUUUUUAGGGAGAAUGAGAUGCUCUAUAUUUUCUUUUUCUUUCCUCUCAGGUGGGUAUCUUGUACCCCUAAUUCUACUGUCGGACACUUGUCCAUUUUUACCUCUCGUCUCACUUUUUAUUUUCUUUCGAGGUUCCGGGCACUUGCCCCUUUUUAUUUCCUCGCAUUUUUCCUAUUUUUCUUCUUUCUUUUUUUUUCUUUUCUUUCUUUUUUUUCAGAGCAUUCAUCUCUUGAGAUAAUAUAGCAAGUGGUAGUAACAAGAUAACUUGAGCAUUUAUUUCACAAGGGGAAACAGAAAUAUUUUUGGUUAUUCUCUCCUGGAUUAGGAGUAGAAUAUUUUUGGGUGAUUCUGAAGAUGGAAAUGGAUGGAUAUAUGUGGAUGGUACUUCCGGAGUGGAAGUAGCAUAUAUGAGUGAAUGUGCAUGUGAAUCUUGAUUUAACCACAUGACAAGCUCCUAAGGGUCUACACAGCUUGACCACACUCAAUGCUCAUAAGCAGUAAAUAGUAAAUGUGUGGCUCAAAGUCUAGCAAGCAUGUAUAUAUGGUUGUGGUAGGAAUUUAAACUCUCAUCAUACAGGAACUCAUUAUGCAACAUUUUAAAGAUUUUCAAAGAUAAAAUUCUCCAGAAUUCUAGCAUCUCUAGGAACAGAUAAACAGCAGCUCAACCUUCCCAUAUCGUAUCCGUUAACAACUUAGACUUCAGAUCAAGUUUUCAUCCCACAAGUUUAGGUCUAGAGCAAGCCUUAAAUUAUAACAGUUAUAUCUAAACUUGAGAGAGAACUUCAAAUUUGCAAAUUAGGCAGAGCAACUAUUCAUCAUAUCCAUGCUUAAGUUUUAUUAGAUACAGAUUAGCAUAGCCACUUUAUUUAUUUAUUAAACACACUAAGCAAAAUAUAUAUAAGCAUAAAAUCUUUAUUUGGUUUUUCAUAGUUAUGUGUAUUUAUAUUCUAAUAUAGUAUAAGUAUAAAGAUAGAUAGAAAUACUUAUCGAGAUAAAUGGGGAUGCUCUCCCCCAAGCUGAAUUUUGACGUAAUUUCUCUUGAUGUAGCUAGCAGGUGGCAGAGGUGUGUUUGAAAGUCAGCAGCAUUCUGACAGCGAUUAGAAUGUCCUCCGUCUGCUAGUCUUCUUGAUUCUUAAAUUCUGUGGAGCUCAAAUAGACAACAAAGCUUGUGGAACUGAUUAAGUGUUAGCAUAAAUAUCUAGCCUCUAUCAUGUUGAGACUCCUUAAUAAAUAUUACUCCCUGUUUUUAUAUUUUUGUUUUUAUAAAGCAGAAAAAUAUUUAUUUUAUUUUUAUGCCACCACAGUGAAUGUACUUAUGGGUUUUAUGCCACUUGUCUACUCACAUGGGGCUUACAGUUUUUUUCACAGUUUUAUUUUCUUUCUAGGAUAAUACGAACAUGAUUAACUAAGUAAACUAUUUGAAAUAAUUAAAAGGGAAAGGAUAACUACCAAGUUUACCUCUUGGUAAGGCGUUCGGUGUUUUUAAGUCCUCCGAACGGGACUCUCCGUUUUCUCAGUCGUCCUGGGAUUCGCUGGAUGACGUAGUCGGUGAUUCCGGUGGCGCCUCCUUUUCGUGUAUAAUUAUCAUCUCUUUCCACACCUGACUCGGUGCUACGGUCACCUCAGGACAGUUCUGUUCAAGCCGUAUGUGUUCAGACCUUAUCACUUCUUCUUCGUAGUCUACCCAUCCGUCCUUGAUGAUUUGCCUCCUCUGGUUGCGGUUGCGUUGUCUUCUUCUUGUCCUGACCUGCUUAGAAUCUUCAACUAUAUAAUCAUUAAAGUAGUGGCGUACCUUUCUCAGAGGGGAAGCGCAUGUGGACUUCUCCGGUUCCAAUAUAGAUAAUGGCUUUGAUAGUGUUUAGGAACGGUCUUCCAAGGAUGGUGGAUGGAUCAUACUUGUCUUCUCCCAUGUCAAUAACUUGAAAGUCAUCUAUAGCUGAAUGUAUAUUGGUUGUAGGGGCAUGGUUUCAUGCAAGAGCUGAUAAGUGACUACGACCAUUAUGUUGACGUCAGAUCCGGUGUCGUAGAGUGUCUUCUGAAAAGAGUAUCUGUUGAUUGUGCACUCAAUGCUUAGAACACCAGGGUCGUCCUUCUUGAUCAAGAAAGGUGACUUGAGUCAACGAUCUUGACCUCCUUGAACUGCAGUGACCAUCUUAGCUGACUCGGUCCACAUUUGCUUGUUCCUGUUUCUCCUGUUGGUCCUCUUCCUUGGUUCAUGUCGGGGUGGCUCUGAAGUUUCUAGUCUUGUUCUUGAAGGAAAAUCUCCUUCUUUCCCUUGAUGUAGAGACUGAUCUUGGCAGCAUUAGCGUAGAUGACAGCUCUAGUGUUUAGGAAUGGCCUCCCUAAGAUGAUGGGUGCCCUCUCCUCAGUACCAGUCUCUAUCACCACGAAGUCUGCUAGAGCGUACAAGGUACCAACUCGGACGCAGAGGUUCUUCAAUAUUUUCUUUGGGAAACUGAGUGUCCGAUCUGCAACCCUGGGCAUAAUGUUGACGCUGGAGCCAAAGUUGCAGAGUGCUUCUGGGAAGUCCACCAUGCCGAUGGAGAUCGGGAUGACGGGGCGUCCUAGAUCACCUCUCUGAGUAAUUAGGCCUCUGUUGAUUCCAACCUUGAUUUUGUUGAGGACGGUUGUAGUAAUAGUUGUUAUUGUUGUUGAUGUAGUUCACGUCCUCAAGCAUCUGAGGGCAGUGAUUGCCUGAGCGUCCAGUAUCUCUAGUGUGUUUGUGCUCGUAGAUCCUAGUUCUUCACUUGGUGGAAUCUGGGAGUUGUAAAACUCCUUCAUAUUAUGCUCGAAGUGUUCCUGCUCAUAGAGACAAGGUAGAGAUCAAGUGCAUGGGCCCUGUUGGUGGAAAACACCAACAGAACCAAAAGUGUAUUUGUUCUUCUCUAACCUUAAGCACAGUGAGCAAGACAAAGUUGAUGGAUCAUGAGUGUAGCAUUUAUCAGAUCGGAUGGCUCAACCUAAUGGAAAGAUAAUCUAUCUAUAUUUAUGUUUUGUUUAUAUCUUCCAAAGAUUGAAUGUGCAAUAUUUUAGCUUAUAUGAUUAGGAGUGUGGGAUCACGAAGGUAGUACUAAGAACAAAGAUUAAAGGACUAAACAUGUUGAAUUAAUUGAGUUGGUUAAUUUGGAGUUACAGAUCAUACAUGUUUGUCUCUUUAUUUUAUGUGAACGCUAGAACCAAGGAGAAGCUUAUAAAAGAGAUAGUCAAGUACCUUAAGAUGUUAUUGAAGAGUGAUGGUAUAGUAUCACCUUGUGGAAGCUUUCCUUUCUUAGUGGUUGUGCAUCGUGUUUGUGGCACCCUCCAUGAAUCAUCUCUUAUGAGCUACGUCUUUCUUGUGCAAAUUGUUAAACUUCAUGUGUCACUUUCUUCAUCACCAAUGUGAGUUUAUCUCAGGACUUCCCAGGUUGAUAUUGAAAGUUUUCCUGCAGGGGUUAGUCCAACAAAAUAUCCCAUAUCUACUAUAGUAUACUAUCAGCUCAAAAAUCAACCUAGACACCAUGUCUAAUUUGAUUUAGAAGGGCAUUUUAACCUAAGCACCAUGCUUAAUUUAAAAUCCCUUGGAAGUAAGAUAAUCAUUCCUAAACUAAGCACCGUGCUUAAUUAAGAGAUAAAUGAAACUAUUCCAAACCUAGGCAUAUACUAAAGCAAAUAAAGGUAGCAUGAGAGCAUUUAUAGAGAUCUACUCAAAUGGAGGUGAAGUAGUGCAAUUAGUACUUAACAAAUUGAGCAUCUCUCAAAGGUAGGGACAACCAACGUAGCAACAUGGCAAAGGAUGUUUUUAUGUAAAGUACUCCUCCAAGCUUGAAUUUUGCAAAAUUCAAGUUUGGAUGAAUUUAAUUCAAUGUUGUGUGAUGGUUGGUUGGACAUACCUUGUGCUUGUCAUUCAUCUGAUCUUCUUGCUCCAAUCUUGGAAAGGUUAGUGACAAGAAUACCCGAAGGAAUAUUCCUACAAUUAUCUCAAUAUGCUCAAUACACAAGGCAAUGUUGCAAAUAAUUAGAAGUGCUUGUUUUAGGACAUUAAGCUUGUCCUUGGGAAACCAUCAAUUAACUCAACGAGAUCUGCAAUAUUUAUUAUAGACAUAUGCAUCGACAACCGCCCUUUUAAAGUUUUUAUAAAUAGAAAGGAAGAGAGGGUUGGAGAUCUCAAAUGUGGUAAGGAUGGAGAGACCAAUUGAUUGGGAAGAUGUUGCAUAUGAGCAUGGACUUGGUGAGGUAUUUAUGAAAUAACUUCCAUGCUCACUGUUGUUUCUCUCAUUCUCAAACUCCAAGGAUGAUUCUUCAUGAAUGCUUAAGAUUCCUCUAGGAUUGUCUCUCAAGUUUGUUUUAUCUAUCCAUUCAAUGGUGAUAGCACAUGGAUUUUUAAUGUCCUCUAGCCAUUGAUGUUGCUCUUCUCGAUCCUCCUUCUUAUGCAUGGGAUGUCUAGAGAGAUUCAUAGGAUUAUCGGGAGGUUCAAGAGAAAGAGCAUAGUAGAAACUAUUAAGCUCAAGGAUGGGAUGGAUAGCCGAAUUAUGGGAUUGAAAUAUUUGGAAAUUGGCUAUGGAAACUUCCUUUCCUUGUCUGGGAGGUGACUCCUUCUCUAUCUCUAAGAUUUUUCUAUGAAGACUAGUAUAAGAAGGAUGUCCACAAAUGAAGACAAACCUUCCUUUACUAAUAGAUAAAGAAAGAAGGACUCUACCAAAGUUUAUAUGAUUAAGACCAAUAUGAAAAUAUCUAGGAAAAACAUGGUCUUGUAGGGCUAGGUCUAAACCAGAAUUUAUAGAAAGAUUAAAAGAUUCCCUAGGUGUAGCUAAAAGUGCAUUAUCUUCUUGAUUAAAAGAUAGGACCUCGGCUAUAGAAAAGGGUUGGUUUUGACCUAUUGCAAUCAACUCCGGACACAGAUCAUAAUUAGGGGCAGGACGUGUUGACUCCCAUGGUCUAUGGCUGGUCUCCGAAGGUGCAAAUAAUUUAAUAAUAGGUAUGGAAUUUGAGUUAUCCAUAAAGAUAAAAAGAUAAAAGAAUAAAAAUAUAAAAGUAUAAUACAAGAUAAUAGCAAGAUUCAAAGUUAUCUCAGCAAACCGUCUUUCUCCCCGGCAACGGCGCCAGAAAUGCUUGUUGAUAUUUGGUAACGCAAUAAGGAAAUGAUCCGCAAGCGCACGGAUAUCGGUGAGCAUUUCACCCGGGAGGUUAUCCAGAGUUAUCGUAUUUAUAUUUUUACCACUGGGAGAAAGGGUGCAUCUGACUAACCAAAUCUAUUGCUACUAUCCCUUUAGGCUACAAAGAAUGUCUCUCGAUGUGAGUGAUGUAUAGAGAAGACUGCAACCGUAGUCUCGUCCUAACCUUGGUAAGGAUGAUCUACUGUUCUAUUGGGGAGGCUCACGGAAUCUAGACAACACAAAGGAUGUUCGACCCGCACCUAUAAACCUACCCGUCCUGCUAAUGAGAUGUGAUCUGCAAAGGUAACUCGGAAAUGUCACGUUCCUCGCUACUACCACGGUCCAGCUAGUCAGGGGAUAUCUAUGAGUACCCUAGCCUAAACACCACGUUUACGCUAACAAGUGAUUACUCUAAUACUCAACCGGAAGAGGAUUAAACUAAACUCAUAAACCAAAGAACAAUAAAACAAGAACUUACUAGUAUUAGAAGUCGAAUUACUGAAGAAUCUUAGAAGCAAGCCUCGGGUUAGGAGACUUGAUCCCGUAGGUACAACUCGGAGUAGACACCGACAGGCCGGCCUUCCUCCGAUCCACACCUCCACUCUAUCUCUCUCAAUCUAGUAGAAACUAGAAGAUCUAUUUCUACCUUACAUUGGUUGCUAAGCCUAAAAAGAAAUAUUAUUUAGAGAAGAGAUUUUCCUUCGAGGGCACCCCUCAAUCUCUAUGAUAAUUUCUUGUCUCCUCGAGGGCCAGAGGGGGUCUCCUUAUAUAGUCCUCCCCUUCUAUGCGUUUUUAGGUCGAUAGGCGAGGUGGUACUAUGUUAUUCUGGAUCCAAUAGGUCGGUGGAACGUCGUGUGCGAAGAGAGUCCUGUUUGGACCCGACAGGUGGGCGGGCGCCCUGGGCCUGGCCCCGUUUCGCCUCCGCUUCGGUCUCGUGGCUUAUGGAGUCUUCUAGAUGGUAGAAAAUUGCGCGGUGGGUUGAUAUCUCUAUGUAAUCCCGACAUGUGGGCCUUUCUUUCUUAUUUCCUGAUAACCCCCUGCAGAAAUAGACAAACACCAAAACUCGUGGAAUUCUGUAAGAUAAAACCCUAAGUCUAGAUGUUGAUUUCAUUUGGAUCCUUUUCUUUGUUUAUUUGAUAAUUAAAUUUGAUACUUAAGGACCGUCAACACAAUCGUAGAUAAAUACGGUAUAGGCACCACGCCUACACAAUACUUAUCAUUUACCCACUGUACACAUGGAUAAACGCUAUACGAUCCUAAACAUGUAUAUAAUUCCAAUCUAACUAAGCCAAGCAUAUAACUAUGAUAAACUAAGAACAAUAUAAUUGCAAAUAUAAACAAGUAGAGCAAAGUCAUAAUCAAUAUAUUGAAGUAGAACAAAGUCAUAUUCAUAAUAUUGAAGAACAAAGAUGAACAAUUGAAGAACAAUAGAGGAAUUACCAAGAAUCCUCCUGACAGAUCCGGAAACCAAUCGAAGAUUGACUCCUUCUAGUUCUAAUCCUAUGUAGCUAUGCUAAACUAGAGAUCUAUUGAUGUGGUGGCUCUAGAGCUUGAUCAGAGGCUUCUUCUCCCGAGAUGGAUAAUGAAUUAGGGUUUCUUAGGGAUAGAGGUGCUCUCCUCCAGGGGCUAGGGGGUCUGCUUAUAUAUUCCUUCCAAAUGAAUGUGGGCUGUAGGAUCAAACCGACAUUAAUCGCACAGUUUUCCUUGAUCCUUUAGGUCGGUGGAGCAUGAUCCGCGAGAUUGGUUCUAAUUGGCCCUCUGGCUAGGGCGGGCGCCCAAGGGGGGAGGGCGGGCGCCCUGCCCGAGGGCCCGAUCAGCCUCCCGUUCGUUCCCGUGGCUUCUGGACUCUUCUAGAUGUUAGAUAAUUGUGCGGCACGUUCAUAUCUCUAUGUAAACCCGACGUGUGGGCCUUUCUUCCAUAAUUCCUGAUAACCCCCUGCAGAAAUAGACAAACACCAAAACUCAUGGAAUUCUGUCAGAUAAAACCCUAACUCUGGGUGUCGGUUGCAUUUGGAUCCUUUUGUCUAUUUAUUUGCUGAUUAUAUUUGAUUCUUAAGGAUCGUCAACAAACUCCCCCAAGCUUACCUCUUGCUCGUCCCUGAGCAAGGAUAAUCUCAGUGAUGGUCAGAAGUUGCUGUAAUGCCUUUAAAAGUUGACGGUACACAUGCUUUUAAAUAAGGUCUCAUCUCUGAGUUAGAGUAAACUGUCAAGACUUAAAACUUACUCACUUUAUCUUUCACCAUGAGACUUGUAACCGUCACUUCUGUCUUGAGCAGUUAAAAGAUAGAAUGGUCUAGUCAAGCACCAUGUCUCUUAUUCUUGAUCUGCUAUAGCUCUGGAGUUUUUGCAGAUUUUCAAAUAAAACUCAGAGAUUCCUUUGUAUGACUAUCUCAGAUCUCUCUUUUGUGGUAUUUCUAGAUCCUUACCAAGGCAGUGAUGGUACUUGCCUUCUCUCAAAGUAUGUGGUAUUUGUGGUAUAAAGCAUAAUGACAUUGCCUUCUCUCUCAUCCUACUCUAAUAAGGCUUUGAUAUCUGGGGCUCAUAGGUGGGAGAUAAAGUAUACAUACUUACAAGACAUUUAUUGCAUACUCAAACCAUGGAUCCAAAGAAACAAGUCAAUAAGUCAAAUCAAGAUGUGCAUGUGUGGCGAAUGAAUGGUGUAUGGUGAUGAUGGUGAUAACAAUGGUGAAAGUCUAAUUCUACUUGUGCUCUUUUGAGGGGAUACAUACCUUUCUUGCUCUUUGAAACUUUUGAGGAGAAUGAGAUGCUCUAUAUUUUCUUUUUCUUUCCUCACAGGUGGGUAUCUUGUACCCCUAAUUCUACUGUCGGACACUUGUCCAUUUUUACCUCUUGUCUCACUUUUUCUUUUCUUUCGAGGUUCCGGGCACUUGCCCCUUUUUAUUCCCUUGUAUUUCUUUUUCUCUCUUUUUUUAGAGCACUCAUCUCCUGAAAUAAUAUAGCAAAUGGUAGUAACCAAGAUAACUCGAGCAUUUAUUUCACAGAUAAAAACAGAAAUGUUUUUGGCUAUUCUCUCCCGGAUUAGGAGUAGAAUAUUUUUAGGUGGUUCUGCAGAUAGAAAUGAGUGGAUAUAUGUGGAUGCCUACUUCCGGAGUAGAAGCAGCAUGUGUGAGUGAACGUGCAAGUGAAUCUUGAUUUAACCACAUGACAAGCUCCUAAGGGUCUAUACAGCUUGACCACACUCAAUGCUCAUAAGCAGUAUAAAAAGUAAAUGUGUGGCUCAAAGUCUAGCAAGCAUGUAUAUAUAUGGCUGUGGUAGGAAUUUAAACUUUCAUCAUACAGGAACUCAUCAUGUCAUAUUUUAAAGAUUUUUAAAGAUAAAAUUCUCCAGAAUUCUAGCAUCUCUAAGAACAGAUAAACAGCAGCUCAACCUUCUCAUACCAUAUCCGUUAACAACUUAGACUUAAGAUCAAGUUCUCUUCCCACAAGUUCAGGUUUAGAGCAAGCUUUAAAUUAUAACAGUUAUGUCUAAACUAGAGAGAACUUCAAAUUUGAAAAUUAGAUAGAGCAACUAUUCAUCAUAUCCAUGCUAGAGUUUUAUUAUUAAGAUUCAGUUUAGCAUAGCCACUUUAUUUAUUUAUUAAGCAUACUAAGCAAAGG